AAAAUAAGAGAUAUAUAAAGAGUUGGCUUACACUCGCCACAAGCUACAUCAGAGUCACAUCAGUACAUUACAUAAACAUCAAGACUAAGAGCAGGGUCCGACUACGGACGAAAACAAACAAGAAAAAAGAAACGACGUCCAUCCUUGCUAUCCCAGGCUGCCGGCCUGGAACCCAUCCUAGAUCGAUGAAGAAGAAGAAGAAGAAGAAGAAGAAGAAGCAACUCCAAAUGAACAAUCAACGCGCUCGCGUCGAGUAACCUCUACAUGUACCUGCAGCUGGUGUUGUAGUAAUCUGUAAGCCACACGGGACUCAGCAAUCUCAUUUCCAAAGGUAUCAAGACUAGCAAAGCUUAAUGGGUGAGGUAAGGUAAAGUGGUGAGGUUGCAGCAGCUGCUAAGCAUAUAUUCGGUGGCUAAACCUACGAGUACAAGAAUAAGAGGGGGAAGAUGUACGCAUAGCAGACGUGAACUACUGAUGAUCAAAUGAAUGAUCCUGAACACCUACCUACGUCAGACAUAACCCCACCGUCUCCUCAAUCGGAGAAGGAACUCACAAAAGAGACAUUCACGGUUACGCACCCAGUUGGCAAGUUUUAAUUAAGUUAACUUCAAGUUAUCUAGAACCAGUGUUAAACAAAGUUUCCAUGUUGCCACAUAACCGCGGGCAAGGCUUUCCGAAAGAUUUAACCCUGCAGGGGUGCUCCAACUAGUCCAUCACAAAUUACCACAAGCCGCAUAGAAAUCCUCAAUCACGAAGCUCGCGAUCUCGUUGGAUUCCCUAGUGGAAAACCUCAACUCUGAGAUUACCCAAAGCAUCACCGGAAUCCCGAUGCACAAGAUAUCUCGUCAAAGGUAAAACUAAUCCAGCAAGGCCACCCGACGUGUCGACGAUCCCGAUAGGAGCCGCGUAUCUCGUUCUCAGGACACGACGGAUGGAACUAGCUAUGGGUGCCAAACCUCGAGUUUCCUCGUGGUGGCCCCGUAGACAGACCGUUUGGGACCAACACCAUCAGCACUGGCCCCCCUGUUUAUGUAAAAUUACUCCUCGGGUUCAUGACGCCCUAUGCAUUUCAAUAUUAACAAAAAUUAUUAUGUUGGGCAAAUGUAGAACCAAUGUUGGGCCUUUCCGGAUCAGCUUUAAUCUAAAACGAAUUAUCAAGGGGGUCCCCAUAACAACCCCGAUCGUGUUAGGAGCGCUCAUUUAUGGAACAUAACACUGGUAGCCGAAACUAAGGGGGCAAAGGUGGAACAAAACACCAGGCUAGAAAGGCCGAGCCUUCCACCUUUUACCAAGUAUAUAGGUGCAUUAAAUUAAAUAGCAUUUAAUAUGGUGAUAUAACAAGAACCCAUGUUAUCACAUGGAAGCAACUGCACCUGCAACUAGCAACGCUAACAACAUGGAUAAGCAAGCGGUAACAUAGCCAAUCAAUGGUUUGCUAGGUCGAACAGGUUGAUGGUUAACAUGGCAUUGUUGAGACGCUGAUAUUUAACAUGUGGUAGGCAACGAGACAUAAACGAUAGAAGCGAUAAAACUAGCAUCGCAAUGAUAGUAAUGGUAUCUGGGGAAAUGGUCAUCUUGCCCGAGAUCCCGCUUGGAAGAAGAAUGACUCCGUGAAGUCAGCGAACCAACGUAGUCGAACGGGUCCUCACAUUCCGACACGCUUGCGGAACUCUAUCAAGAUGGAGGAAACGGAAACAAGCAUCAACACACGAUAUUCACCAUGGCAAAUGCACAACAUGAUGCACCACCUAAUAUGAUGCAUGAUCAGAUCAAUGAUGCAAGGGAUGGCAUGGCAAUUCACCUCACGCAAACUCUACACAUUAAGUGAAGCUCGAUAUGCAACGGGUUGCAUAUCGACGAAACUCCACAUUUAAUUAUUAAUUAACUCCCGUUAAUUAUCACAGCAAUAUUACAUUGUGGUUAUCAUGGCAAGGGUGAAGCACAAAUUAAUCUAUAUAUCUAGGCAUUUUAAAUGAGGCCGGAAACGUCGUAUAGCAUCUCCGAAAUGACCCCACGUGUUAAAUCUUAAUUCUGCCCAGAUUUGUCCUAAUCACAUUUUAGGUUUGUCAAACGGCAAAACAAAGUGGUUCACGUGAUUCUACUCGCCGUUCUGGUCCAUUUACAUAUAUGGCACAUCUCCAAUGGAGCUACGGACAAAUAGUUACGACCUAAACUGUUUUUAAUACGUCGGCAUGUAAACCGAUGCAAACAUCACACUAAACAGUUCUAAUUAUGCAUGAGAGUUGAAAAAUAAUACUCUACGCAAAAUUCUAGCCAAGUAGCAUAUAAAACUCAUCGCAAUCCGAUGCACGGAUUAGAAACUACGGACAUUUGAAAAUAUGUGAUUUUUCUGAAGAUUAGCAAAAAAAUCCUGGUGCAGCAAAAAAAAU
rnacentral:lncRNA from 1 species